rnacentral:rRNA from 1 species
CACGUAGGGGGCGAGCGUUGUCCGGAUUUAUUGGGCGUAAAGAGCUCGUAGGCGGUUCGGCAAGUCGGGUGUGAAAUUUCGAGGCUCAACCUCGAAACGCCACUCGAUACUGCUGUGACUGGAGUCCGGUAGAGGAGUGCGGAAUUCCUGGUGUAGCGGUGAAAUGCGCAGAUAUCAGGAGGAACACCAAUGGCGAAGGCAGCUCGCUGGGACGUGACUGACGCUGAGACGCGAAAGCGUGGGGAGCAAACAGG